rfam:Longilinea arvoryzae DNA, scaffold: Larv_scaffold_1, strain: KOME-1.
GGGGAAUUGCUGGAAUUGGCAGACAGGCAUGACUUAGGAUCAUGUGCCGCAAGGCGUGAGGGUUCGAGUCCCUCAUUCCCCA